ACAGCUCCUGGUGAGAAGGGCGAAGCCAUGUCAGAAAUAAUAGAAAAGGCUUUUUCCUUUGAAAUAUCUAAACGUUCAAAGAUGGGAACAGCCGCAGGGGGGAGAAUACUGUGCUAUGCAAGUUGAUCUGAUUUUGUGGACCAUCCAUUUCCAAUUGGGAAGCUCACUUACUUUCAACUUGAAGCAUCAGAAAACCAGACUUACAGCAGCUUCAGCCUAUAGGGGUUUAUUUUUCUCAUGUAACAAGAAGAACAGAAGUGGACAGAGGCCGAGUUCUCAAGGACUCAGUUUCUUUCUGUCCCACCAACCUUACCAUGUUGGAUUGUCAUCUUUGUGCUUGUUGCCUCAUGAUGGCAAGAUGGCUGCAGCACCUCUGGGACUCACGACUGAUUUUUAAGACUACAGAGCCUAAGUCAAAGCUUGUUCUUGGACCCAGGAAAUAUGUCAAAUCCUUCCAGUGAAUGGUAUGUCUUCCUAAAUGACGCACUUGUGAGAACAGCUGGACCUAACUGUCUAAAGGACAGCUAGCUUCCAGCCCGAUUUUCAGAGCUGAUAUAUCAAAAUCUAAUUCCUUUUACAGAAUAGCCAAAUAAAUAUUUUCACUGUCAAA
rnacentral:lncRNA from 1 species